UUGGUCCAGUUCAGAAGUUCCCGGUUCCACCUGGUGAGGAGGUGCAGAAGGCACACCUCUUUAUUGGCUUCUGAGCUCCAUUUUAAACUCCUGACAUAAGUGACUAUUUAAUACCAGGUUUUACAAGACCAUGCCCGUGGGAGCGGAGUCUUGUGACAGAAGAGUGGGCAAAAGCCAGCAUGCAGUAGGAGGCAGAAACUCCUCCCGCCUUCUGCCCAACUGAGGCAGCAACCACAGUCUUCCUGGAGAGAUGACGCUUGCUUGAACUGGAGGAAUUGAUGAAUGACAUUUCGAGGAGAAGAGAGCACAGUACCCUUCUAGAACAGCAUGAACUGAACCAAAGCACAGAGCUUCCAUCUCCAACCAUUUCUCGCACCUGUCUGAGGGCUCCUGAAUGCCAGUGUGACUAAUGAGUGCCAGAAGCAGCAGAUGGGAAGAUUUCUUGUUAAUACAAACGGAAAAAUGAUCAUCUUUCUAAUGGAAAAAAACCUGACACCGAGCACCUCAACCCAAGUGAUCAAAAUUAAUGUCACCAACAAUGGGACAACCUGACAUCAUGGGCUUGCUGACUGGAGGUCAUGGAAGGACACAGCAUUUCUUACACACUAUACCUGCUAGAAAAUGCAUAACCUGCAUGGAAAUGUGAGGAACUACCAUACAAACUUUUAACAGUUGGGCUGUACUCUUUUAAAAAUGUCAAUGUCAUAAAAGACAAUGAAAGUCUAAGAAAUUGUUCCAGAUUAAAAGAAACUAAAGAAACAAGACAACCAAAUGAAAUGUGUUCUCUUGGGUUGGAUUCUGAAUUGGGUAUGGGGGUGGGGAAGAUUGUCAUAAUGGACAUUAUUAGGACCUUUUUUUUUUUUUGUAAAACUUUUUUUUUUUUUUUCAACACAGUAAGUGUACUCUUGGAUUCCCAUCACCUAUUUUACCCAUCCUCCCUACCAGACCCAUCUCCCUUCUGGUAACCAUCAAUCUGUUCUCUAUAGUUAAGGGUCUGUUUCUUGGCUUGUCUCUUUUUUUGUUUUCCUUUGUUCAUUUGUCUUGUCUCUUAAAUUCCACAUAUAAAUGAAAUCAGAUGGUAUUUGUCUUUCUGACUGGCUUAUUUCGCUUAGUGUUUUAUUCUCUAGUUUCAUCCAUGUUGUUGUAAAUGGCAACUUUUCAUUCUUUUUA